rnacentral:rRNA from 1 species
UACAGAGGGUGCAAGCGUUAAUCGGAAUUACUGGGCGUAAAGCGCGCGUAGGUGGUUUGUUAAGUUGGAUGUGAAAUCCCCGGGCUCAACCUGGGAACUGCAUUCAAAACUGACAAGCUAGAGUAUGGUAGAGGGUGGUGGAAUUUCCUGUGUAGCGGUGAAAAUGCGUAGAUAUAGGAAGGAACACCAGUGGCGAAGGCGACCACCUGGACUGAUACUGACACUGAGGUGCGAAAGCGUGGGGAGCAAACAGG